GAACGCUGGCGGCGUGCCUAAUACAUGCAAGUCGAACGAGUUCUCGUUGAUGAUCGGUGCUUGCACCGAGAUUCAACAUGGAACGAGUGGCGGACGGGUGAGUAACACGUGGGUAACCUGCCCUUAAGUGGGGGAUAACAUUUGGAAACAGAUGCUAAUACCGCAUAGAUCCAAGAACCGCAUGGUUCUUGGCUGAAAGAUGGCGUAAGCUAUCGCUUUUGGAUGGACCCGCGGCGUAUUAGCUAGUUGGUGAGGUAAUGGCUCACCAAGGCGAUGAUACGUAGCCGAACUGAGAGGUUGAUCGGCCACAUUGGGACUGAGACACGGCCCAAACUCCUACGGGAGGCAGCAGUAGGGAAUCUUCCACAAUGGACGCAAGUCUGAUGGAGCAACGCCGCGUGAGUGAAGAAGGCUUUCGGGUCGUAAAACUCUGUUGUUGGAGAAGAAUGGUCGGCAGAGUAACUGUUGUCGGCGUGACGGUAUCCAACCAGAAAGCCACGGCUAACUACGUGCCAGCAGCCGCGGUAAUACGUAGGUGGCAAGCGUUAUCCGGAUUUAUUGGGCGUAAAGCGAGCGCAGGCGGUUUUUUAAGUCUGAUGUGAAAGCCCUCGGCUUAACCGAGGAAGCGCAUCGGAAACUGGGAAACUUGAGUGCAGAAGAGGACAGUGGAACUCCAUGUGUAGCGGUGAAAUGCGUAGAUAUAUGGAAGAACACCAGUGGCGAAGGCGGCUGUCUGGUCUGUAACUGACGCUGAGGCUCGAAAGCAUGGGUAGCGAACAGGAUUAGAUACCCUGGUAGUCCAUGCCGUAAACGAUGAAUGCUAGGUGUUGGAGGGUUUCCGCCCUUCAGUGCCGCAGCUAACGCAUUAAGCAUUCCGCCUGGGGAGUACGACCGCAAGGUUGAAACUCAAAGGAAUUGACGGGGGCCCGCACAAGCGGUGGAGCAUGUGGUUUAAUUCGAAGCAACGCGAAGAACCUUACCAGGUCUUGACAUCUUUUGAUCACCUGAGAGAUCAGGUUUCCCCUUCGGGGGCAAAAUGACAGGUGGUGCAUGGUUGUCGUCAGCUCGUGUCGUGAGAUGUUGGGUUAAGUCCCGCAACGAGCGCAACCCUUAUGACUAGUUGCCAGCAUUUAGUUGGGCACUCUAGUAAGACUGCCGGUGACAAACCGGAGGAAGGUGGGGAUGACGUCAAAUCAUCAUGCCCCUUAUGACCUGGGCUACACACGUGCUACAAUGGAUGGUACAACGAGUUGCGAGACCGCGAGGUCAAGCUAAUCUCUUAAAGCCAUUCUCAGUUCGGACUGUAGGCUGCAACUCGCCUACACGAAGUCGGAAUCGCUAGUAAUCGCGGAUCAGCACGCCGCGGUGAAUACGUUCCCGGGCCUUGUACACACCGCCCGUCACACCAUGAGAGUUUGUAACACCCGAAGCCGGUGGCGUAACCCUUUUAGGGAGCGAGCCGUCUAAGGUGGGACAAAUGAUUAGGGUGAAGUCGUAACAAGGUAGCCGUAGCCC
rnacentral:rRNA from 2 species